rnacentral:rRNA from 1 species
CAAGCGGUGGAGCAUGUGGUUUAACUCGAUGAUACGCGAGGAACCUUACCUGGGCUCAAAUGUAUGUUGACGUAUUCUGAAAGGGAUACUUCUUCGGACAAUAUACAAGGUGCUGCAUGGUUGUCGUCAGCUCGUGCCGUGAGGUGUCGGGUUAAGUCCCAUAACGAGCGCAACCCCUAUCAUUAGUUGCCAUCAGGUCAAGCUGGGGACUCUAAUGAAACUGCCUACGCAAGUAGUGAGGAAGGUGGGGAUGACGUCAAGUCAUCAGUGGCCCUUACGGCCUGGGCUACACACGUGCUACAAUGGUCGGUACAAAGGGUUGCCAAGCCGCGAGGUGGAGCUAAUCCCAUAAAACCGAUCGUAGUCCGGAUCGCAGUCUGCAACUCGACUGCGUGAAGUCGGAAUCGCUAGUAAUCGUGAAUCAGAAUGUCACGGUGAAUACGUUCCCGGGCCUU